rnacentral:rRNA from 1 species
AGCUCCAAUAGCGUGUAUUAAAGUUGCUGCGUUUAAAAAGCUCGUAAUGGGUUUCAGUCUCGAUCGAGCGGUCCGUCUCCUGACGGUACUGCGCGAAUCGGACAUUCCGCCGCAUUUCCCCUCAUUCUCUUAACUGAGUGUGGGGGGAGAGUGGUACGUUUACUUUGAAAAAAUUAGAGUGCUCAAAGCAGGCCACCGCCUGAAUAGUCGUGCAUGGAAUGAUGGAAUAGGGCCUCGGUUCUAUUUUGUUGGUUUCCGGAACUCGAGGUAAUGAUUAAUAGGGACGGACGGGGGCAUUUGUAUUGCGACAUUAGAGGUGAAAUUCUUAGAUCGUCGCAAGACAAACUACAGCGAAAGCAUAAUUUGCCAAGAAUGUUUUCA